rnacentral:rRNA from 1 species
UAAAAUGUCCCCUAAAGCCGGGAAUGGGGAUUGAGAGCUUGCUCUCAAGAAGUUAGCGGCGGACGGGUGAGUAACACGUGGGUAACCUGCCCAUAAGACUGGGAUAACUCCGGGAAACCGGGGCUAAUACCGGAUAACAUUUUGAACUGCAUGGUUCGAAAUUGAAAGGCGGCUUCGGCUGUCACUUAUGGAUGGACCCGCGUCGCAUUAGCUAGUUGGUGAGGUAACGGCUCACCAAGGCAACGAUGCGUAGCCGACCUGAGAGGGUGAUCGGCCACACUGGGACUGAGACACGGCCCAGACUCCUACGGGAGGCAGCCA